rnacentral:rRNA from 1 species
GACGAACGCUGGCGGCGUGCUUAACACAUGCAAGUCGAACGGAAAGGCCCUGCUUGCAGGGUACUCGAGUGGCGAACGGGUGAGUAACACGUGGGUGAUCUGCCCUGCACUUCGGGAUAAGCUUGGGAAACUGGGUCUAAUACCGGAUAGGAGCCAUCUUUAGUGUGGUGGUUGGAAAGUUUUUUCGGUGUAGGAUGAGCUCGCGGCCUAUCAGCUUGUUGGUGGGGUAAUGGCCUACCAAGGCGGCGACGGGUAGCCGGCCUGAGAGGGUGUACGGCCACAUUGGGACUGAGAUACGGCCCAGACUCCUACGGGAGGCAGCAGUGGGGAACAUUGCACAAUGGGCGCAAGCCUGAUGCAGCGACGCCGCGUGGGGGAUGAAGGCCUUCGGGUUGUAAACUCCUUUCGCUAGGGACGAAGCUUUGUUGUGACGGUACCUAGAUAAGAAGCACCGGCUAACUACGUG